rnacentral:rRNA from 1 species
GACGAACGCUGGCGGCGUGCUUAACACAUGCAAGUCGAACGGAAAGGCCCUGCUUUUGUGGGGUGCUCGAGUGGCGAACGGGUGAGUAACACGUGAGUAACCUGCCCUUGACUUUGGGAUAACUUCAGGAAACUGGGGCUAAUACCGGAUAGGAGCUCCUGCUGCAUGGUGGGGGUUGGAAAGUUUCGGCGGUUGGGGAUGGACUCGCGGCUUAUCAGCUUGUUGGUGGGGUAGUGGCUUACCAAGGCUUUGACGGGUAGCCGGCCUGAGAGGGUGACCGGCCACAUUGGGACUGAGAUACGGCCCAGACUCCUACGGGAGGCAGCAGUGGGGAAUAUUGCACAAUGGGCGGAAGCCUGGUGCAGCAACGCCGCGUGCGGGAUGACGGCCUUCGGGUUGUAAACCGCUUUCGCCUGUGACGAAGCGUGAGUGACGGUAAUGGGUAAAGAAGCACCGGCUAACUACGUGCCAGCAGCCGCGGUGAUACGUAGGGUGCGAGCGUUGUCCGGAUUUAUUGGGCGUAAAGGGCUCGUAGGUGGUUGAUCGCGUCGGAAGUGUAAUCUUGGGGCUUAACCCUGAGCGUGCUUUCGAUACGGGUUGACUUGAGGAAGGUAGGGGAGAAUGGAAUUCCUGGUGGAGCGGUGGAAUGCGCAGAUAUCAGGAGGAACACCAGUGGCGAAGGCGGUUCUCUGGGCCUUUCCUGACGCUGAGGAGCGAAAGCGUGGGGAGCGAACAGGCCUAGAUACCCUGGUAGUCCACGCUGUAAACGGUGGGUACUAGGUGUGGGGUCCAUUCCACGGGUUCCGUGCCGUAGCUAACGCUUUAAGUACCCCGCCUGGGGAGUACGGCCGCAAGGCUAAAACUCAAAGGAGUUGACGGGGCCCCGCACAAGCGGCGGAGCAUGCGGAUUAAUUCGAUGCAACGCGUAGAACCUUACCUGGGUUUGACAUGGAUCGGGAGUGCUCAGAGAUGGGUGUGCCUCUUUUGGGGUCGGUUCACAGGUGGUGCAUGGCUGUCGUCAGCUCGUGUCGUGAGAUGUUGGGUUAAGUCCCGCAACGAGCGCAACCCUUGUUCACUGUUGCCAGCACGUUAUGGUGGGGACUCAGUGGAGACCGCCGGGGUCAACUCGGAGGAAGGUGGGGAUGACGUCAAGUCAUCAUGCCCCUUAUGUCCAGGGCUUCACGCAUGCUACAAUGGCUGGUACAGAGAGUGGCGAGCCUGUGAGGGUGAGCGAAUCUCGGAAAGCCGGUCUCAGUUCGGAUUGGGGUCUGCAACUCGACCUCAUGAAGUCGGAGUCGCUAGUAAUCGCAGAUCAGCAACGCUGCGGUGAAUACGUUCCCGGGGCU